AUUGAACGCUGGCGGCAGGCCUAACACAUGCAAGUCGAGCGGAUGAGGAAAGCUUGCUUUUCGAUUCAGCGGCGGACGGGUGAGUAAUGCCUAGGAAUCUGCCUGUUAGUGGGGGAUAACUCGGGGAAACUCGGGCUAAUACCGCAUACGUCCUACGGGAGAAAGUGGGGGAUCUUCGGACAUCACGCUAUCGGAUGAGCCUAGGUCGGAUUAGCUAGUUGGUGGGGUAAAGGCUCACCAAGGCGACGAUCCGUAACCGGUCUGAGAGGAUGAUCAGUCACACUGGAACUGAGACACGGUCCAGACUCCUACGGGAGGCAGCAGUGGGGAAUAUUGGACAAUGGGCGAAAGCCUGAUCCAGCCAUGCCGCGUGUGUGAAGAAGGUCUUCGGAUUGUAAAGCACUUUAAGUCGGGAGGAAGGGCUGUAGGUUAAUACCUUGCAGCCUUGACGUUACCGACAGAAUAAGCACCGGCUAACUUCGUGCCAGCCGCCGCCGUAAAAC
rnacentral:rRNA from 1 species